GAUGAACGCUGGCGGCGUGCCUAAUACAUGCAAGUCGAGCGAACGGACGAGAAGCUUGCUUCUCUGAUGUUAGCGGCGGACGGGUGAGUAACACGUGGAUAACCUACCUAUAAGACUGGGAUAACUUCGGGAAACCGGAGCUAAUACCGGAUAAUAUUUUGAACCGCAUGGUUCAAAAGUGAAAGACGGUCUUGCUGUCACUUAUAGAUGGAUCCGCGCUGCAUUAGCUAGUUGGUAAGGUAACGGCUUACCAAGGCAACGAUGCAUAGCCGACCUGAGAGGGUGAUCGGCCACACUGGAACUGAGACACGGUCCAGACUCCUACGGGAGGCAGCAGUAGGGAAUCUUCCGCAAUGGGCGAAAGCCUGACGGAGCAACGCCGCGUGAGUGAUGAAGGUCUUCGGAUCGUAAAACUCUGUUAUUAGGGAAGAACAUAUGUGUAAGUAACUGUGCACAUCUUGACGGUACCUAAUCAGAAAGCCACGGCUAACUACGUGCCAGCAGCCGCGGUAAUACGUAGGUGGCAAGCGUUAUCCGGAAUUAUUGGGCGUAAAGCGCGCGUAGGCGGUUUUUUAAGUCUGAUGUGAAAGCCCACGGCUCAACCGUGGAGGGUCAUUGGAAACUGGAAAACUUGAGUGCAGAAGAGGAAAGUGGAAUUCCAUGUGUAGCGGUGAAAUGCGCAGAGAUAUGGAGGAACACCAGUGGCGAAGGCGACUUUCUGGUCUGUAACUGACGCUGAUGUGCGAAAGCGUGGGGAUCAAACAGGAUUAGAUACCCUGGUAGUCCACGCCGUAAACGAUGAGUGCUAAGUGUUAGGGGGUUUCCGCCCCUUAGUGCUGCAGCUAACGCAUUAAGCACUCCGCCGGGGGAGUACGACCGCAAGGUUGAAACUCAAAGGAAUUGACGGGGACCCGCACAAGCGGUGGAGCAUGUGGUUUAAUUCGAAGCAACGCGAAGAACCUUACCAAAUCUUGACAUCCUUUGACAACUCUAGAGAUAGAGCCUUCCCCUUCGGGGGACAAAGUGACAGGUGGUGCAUGGUUGUCGUCAGCUCGUGUCGUGAGAUGUUGGGUUAAGUCCCGCAACGAGCGCAACCCUUAAGCUUAGUUGCCAUCAUUAAGUUGGGCACUCUAAGUUGACUGCCGGUGACAAACCGGAGGAAGGUGGGGAUGACGUCAAAUCAUCAUGCCCCUUAUGAUUUGGGCUACACACGUGCUACAAUGGACAAUACAAAGGGCAGCGAAACCGCGAGGUCAAGCAAAUCCCAUAAAGUUGUUCUCAGUUCGGAUUGUAGUCUGCAACUCGACUACAUGAAGCUGGAAUCGCUAGUAAUCGUAGAUCAGCAUGCUACGGUGAAUACGUUCCCGGGUCU
rnacentral:rRNA from 1 species